rnacentral:rRNA from 1 species
CAGUCGCCGCGGUAAUACGUAGGGUGCGAGCGUUAAUCGGAAUUACUGGGCGUAAAGCGUGCGCAGGCGGUUCGUUAAGACAGAUGUGAAAUCCCCGGGCUUAACCUGGGAACUGCAUUUGUGACUGGCGAGCUAGAGUAUGGCAGAGGGGGGUAGAAUUCCACGUGUAGCAGUGAAAUGCGUAGAGAUGUGGAGGAAUACCGAUGGCGAAGGCAGCCCCCUGGGCCAAUACUGACGCUCAUGCACGAAAGCGUGGGGAGCAAACAGGAUUAGAUACCCGAGUAGUCCCUGUCUCUUAUAC